UCGGUCUGGCUCAGUUGGUAAGAGCGUGGCAUUAGCAAUACCAAGGUUGUGGGUUCAAUUCCCACAGGGAUGAA